CUGCUGCCAAUUAAGCCCACCAUUCUCUUUCCUUCAUGGAGACCUGAUGUGAAAUGACUGCAAACAUCAUCCUCCUCAGCAGCACACACAUGCUGUCAUUGCAUGAGUCACCAAUGGAUGUUCAUGUCUCAACC
rfam:Fukomys damarensis contig76446, whole genome shotgun sequence.